rnacentral:rRNA from 1 species
UACAGAGGUGGCAAGCGUUGUUCGGAAUUACUGGGCGUAAAGGGCGCGUAGGCGGUCGGGCAAGUCCUGUGUGAAAUCCCUCGGCUCAACUGAGGAACUGCACGGGAAACUGCUCGGCUUGAGUUCGGGAGAGGGAAGGCGGAAUUCCGGGUGUAGCGGUGGAAAUGACGUAGAUAUCCGGAGGAACACCGGUGGCGAAGGCGGCUUCCUGGACCGACACUGACGCUGAGGCGCGAAAGCUAGGGAGCAAACGGG